GUACCGUAUUUUCCAUGGGGAGUGCUGU
rnacentral:sRNA from 1 species